AUUGAACGCUGGCGGCAGGCUUAACACAUGCAAGUCGAGCGAGCGGCGGACGGGUGAGUAAUGUCUGGGAAACUGCCUGAUGGAGGGGGAUAACUACUGGAAACGGUAGCUAAUACCGCAUACCAUCAGAUGUGCCCAGAUGGGAUUAGCUAGUAGGUGGGGUAACGGCUUACCUAGGCGACGAUCCCUAGCUGGUCUGAGAGGAUGACCAGCCACACUGGAACUGAGACACGGCCCAGACUCCUACGGGAGGCAGCAGUGGGGAAUAUUGCACAAUGGGCGCAAGCCUGAUGCAGCCAUGCCGCGUGUAUGAAGAAGGCCUUCGGGUUGUAAAGCACUUUCAGCGGGGAGGCGUUACUCGCAGAAGAAGCACCGGCUAACUCCGUGCCAGCAGCCGCGGUAAUAC
rnacentral:rRNA from 1 species